GUGUAAGCGCAGCGAUGCGUUGAGCUAACCGGUACUAAUGAACCGUGAGGCUUAACCUUACAACGCCGAAG
rnacentral:rRNA from 19 species